GACGAACGCUGGCGGCGUGCUUAACACAUGCAAGUCGAACGGAAAGGCCCUGCUUUUGUGGGGUGCUCGAGUGGCGAACGGGUGAGUAACACGUGAGUAACCUGCCCUUGACUUUGGGAUAACUUCAGGAAACUGGGGCUAAUACCGGAUAGGAGCUCCUGCUGCAUGGUGGGGGUUGGAAAGUUUCGGCGGUUGGGGAUGGACUCGCGGCUUAUCAGCUUGUUGGUGGGGUAGUGGCUUACCAAGGCUUUGACGGGUAGCCGGCCUGAGAGGGUGACCGGCCACAUGGGGACUGAGAUACGGCCCAGACUCCUACGGGAGGCAGCAGCGGGGAAUAUUGCACAAUGGGCGGAAGCCUGAUGCAGCAACGCCGCGUGCGGGAUGACGGCCUUCGGGUUGUAAACCGCUUUCGCCUGUGACGAAGCGUGAGUGACGGUAAUGGGGAAAGAAGCACCGGCUAACUACGU
rnacentral:rRNA from 1 species